GGCGCGAUACCCAAGUGGUUAAGGGGGGAGUCUGCAAAACUCCUAUGCGCGGGUUCGAAUCCCGCUCGCGCCU
rnacentral:tRNA from 1 species